rnacentral:lncRNA from 1 species
AGGCCAGCCAGGCGGGGCGUCGCACGUGGCUGCUUCACCUUGACCAUGAGUGUCCUGCAGUUCUUCCGGCUGCUAGCAGGGGACGCAAGAGUCUGCCUCUUCUGACCCUGGGAGUGCAGGUGUUUUCAGCGCAUGCUGCUUGAGGGGGAGAGCAGCGUUCUUCUCAGCACAGACCAGAGCAACAACGCCUUGCUGUGGGACAGCUGCAGGGAGUGAUGGAGUCUUCCUCUGUUCCCAUAGCUGGAGUGCAAUGACGUGAUCUCGGCUCCGGUAACCUCAGCUUCCUGGAUUCGUGCAAUUCUCCUCUCUUAGCUUCCUGAGGAUCUGGGAUUACAGGACUCAGCCACCACUGCUGGCUAACUUUUGUAUUUUUGGUAGAGAGCUUGUUUCACCAUGUUGAUCAGGAUGAUCUCAAACACCUGACUUAAGGACAUCCACCUGGCUCUACCUCCCAAAGUGCUGGGAUUACAGCACGCGUUGUACUGUUCAAUUUGACUGCUCUUUAAUUCCUUGUCCUUGGGGGUUGUAAGGAAUUCCUGUUUUAUGAGUGAUUGACCAUAGCUGUAAUAAAUUUUAAAAAGCAUGACUAACAUAAGCGUGUCCAU